AAAGACUGACGCUCAGGCACGAAAGCGUGGGGAUCAAACAGGAUUAGAUACCCUGGUAGUCCACGCUGUAAACGAUGAUCACUCGUUGUUGGCGAUAUACUGUCAGCGACUGAGCGAAAGCAUUAAGUGAUCCACCUGGGGAGUACGGCGGCAACGUUGAAACUCAAAGGAAUUGACGGGGGCCCGCACAAGCGGAGGAGCAUGUGGUUUAAUUCGAUGAUACGCGAGGAACCUUACCUGGGCUUAAAUGCAGAACGACGUUUCGUGAAAGCGGAAUUUCCUUCGGGACGUUUUGCAAGGUGCUGCAUGGUUGUCGUCAGCUCGUGCCGUGAGGUGUCGGGUUAAGUCCCAUAACGAGCGCAACCCUUAUCCUUAGUUGCCAUCAGGUCAAGCUGGGAACUCUAAGGAAACUGCCUACGCAAGUAGUGAGGAAGGUGGGGAUGACGUCAAAUCAGCACGGCCCUUAUGUCCAGGGCGACACACGUGCUACAAUGGCCAGUACAGAGGGUUGCAAA
rnacentral:rRNA from 1 species